rnacentral:rRNA from 1 species
UACGUAGGGGCGAGCGUUGUCCGGAUUUACUGGGCGUAAAGGGAGCGUAGGCGGACUUUUAAGUGAGAUGUGAAAUACCCGAGCUCAACUUGGGUGCUGCAUUUCAAACUGGAAGUCUAGAGUGCAGGAGAGGAGAAUGGAAUUCCUAGUGUAGCGGUGAAAUGCGUAGAGAUUAGGAAGAACACCAGUGGCGAAGGCGAUUCUCUGGACUGUAACCGACGCUGAGGCUCGAAAGCGUGGGGAGCAAACAGGAUUAGAUACCCUGGUA